UUAAAAAGCCGAAUCAUAGCUCCUAAAUCUCAAAACAAAUUAUUCCCAGAGAUCACACGCAUCAAUAUCAACAAACCCAUCAACAAUACUCAAUUAAGCCAUCAAUAAAUAACACACCCACACACACGUAUCCAUGGAUUAAUCGAGGAAAAAUAAUUUCAAAUUCAAACAAUAAAUUUCUUAAACAGAUCCUAAACUUUAUAUUCCUAUUUAAAAAUUAGAACAAAAAUGAAAAAAAAAAGAAG
rnacentral:misc_RNA from 1 species